GAUGAAGAACGUAGCGAAAUGCGAUAAGUAGUGUGAAUUGCAGAAUUCAGUGAAUCAUCGAAUCUUUGAACGCACAUUGCGCCCGAUGGUAUUCCGUCGGGCAUGCCUGUUCGAGCGUCAUUUCAACCCUCAAGCGCAGCUUGGUGUUGGGUGCUUGUCCCGCCUCCGCGCGGCGACUCACCUCAAAGUCAUUGGCAGCCCGCAUCCGCCGGCCGUGAGCGCAGCACAGUCGCGCCCUAGGCCCCGGCGGAUCGGCUCUCCAGAAGCUACCCCCCAAUGUUGACCUCGGAUCAGGUAGGGAUACCCGCUGAACUUAAGCAUAUCAAUAAGCGGAGGA
rnacentral:misc_RNA from 1 species